GCCGGAGUGAUGGAAUUGGCAGACAUACGGGACUUAAAAUCCCGAGUCCGCUUCAGGCGGGCGUGCCGGUUCGAGUCCGGCCUCCGGCACCA
rnacentral:tRNA from 1 species